rnacentral:rRNA from 1 species
GGAGUUAGCCGGUGCUUCUUCUGUGAGUGAUGUCCUUCCUGCCGGUUAUUGACCCGCAGGCCUUCUUCCUCACUGAAAGUGCUUUACAACCCGAAGGCCUUCUUCACACACGCGGCAUGGCUGGAUCAGGGUUGCCCCCAUUGUCCAAUAUUCCCCACUGCUGCCUCCCGUAGGAGUCUGGGCCGUGUCUCAGUCCCAGUGUGGCUGAUCAUCCUCUCAGACCAGCUACGGAUCGUCGCCUUGGUGAGCCGUUACCUCACCAACCAGCUAAUCCGACAUAGGCUCAUCCGAUAGCGCGAGGCCCGAAGGUCCCCCGCUUUCCCCCGUAGGGCGUAUGCGGUAUUAGCCUGGGUUUCCCCAGGUUAUCCCCCACUACCGGGCAGAUUCCUAUGCAUUACUCACCCGUCCGCCGCUCGCCACCAGGGAGCAAGCUCCCCGUGCUGCCGCUCGACUUGCAUGUGUAGCUCGCCGCCACGCGUCAUCUGAGCAUGAUACAACUACUGA